rnacentral:pre_miRNA from 1 species
UGUAUUAGCCGUGUAAAGUUUUUUUACACAAUCAACCAAUUAGAUUUCAUAGAUUUUUUAUGUCAGUCAAUUUAAUUAAAUAAAAAAUCUAUAUUUUUCAUACUCAUGAAAUCUGAUUGGUUGACGGUGUUAAAAAACUUUACACUGUCUACA